GCCUCAUUAUUAAUACCAUUGACAGGAACUCCCUGGUGGGUCAUAUUGACUCCCAAGAGUCUUUGUCAACAAUCAUUGAUUUAUCAGUGGCGUCGAGUGUAUACAAGAAUUUGAUCUGCCACCACCUAAAGAUUUUACCGAUGUUAUAAAUGUUGCUGGUACAUCAAACAAAGAUUUGCCACCACCUCCUAUAGGAUUU